AGAGUUUGAUCAUGGCUCAGGAUGAACGCUGGCGGAGUGCCUAACACAUGCAAGUCGAGCGGCAGCACGAGUAGUUUACUACUUGGUGGCGAGCGGCGGACGGCUGAGUAACACGUGGGAACGUGCCCCAAAGUGAGGAAUAACUGCCCGAAAGGGUAGCUAAUGCCGCAUAUGAUCUUCGGAUUAAAGUAUUUAUUACGCUUUGGGAGCGGCCCGCGUCCGAUUAGGUAGUUGGUGAGGUAAAGGCUCACCAAGCCCACGAUCGGUAGCUGGUCUGAGAGGAUGACCAGCCAGACUGGAACUGAGACACGGUCCAGACUCCUACGGGAGGCAGCAGUGAGGAAUCUUCCACAAUGGACGAAAGUCUGAUGGAGCAACUCCGCGUGCAGGAUGAAGGCCUUCGGGUCGUAAACUGCUUUUAUGAGUGAAGAAUAUGACGGUAACUCAUGAAUAAGGGUCGGCUAACUACGUGCCAGCAGCCGCGGUCAUACGUAGGACCCAAGCGUUAUCCGGAGUGACUGGGCGUAAAGAGUUGCGUAGGUGGUUAGUAAAGUGAAUAGUGAAAUCUGGCGGCUCAACCGUACAGGCUAUUAUUCAAACUCACUAACUCGAGAAUGGUAGAGGUAACUGGAAUUUCUAGUGUAGGAGUGAAAUCCGUAGAUAUUAGAAGGAACACCAAUGGCGUAGGCAGGUUACUGGACCAUUUCUGACACUGAGGCCACGAAAGCGUGGGGAGCGAACCGGAUUAGAUACCCGGGUAGUCCACGCCGUAAACGAUGGAUACUAGCUGUUGGAGGUAUCGACCCCUUCAGUAGCGAAGCUAACGCGUUAAGUAUCCCGCCUGUGGAGUACGGUCGCAAGACUAAAACUUAAAUGAAUUGACGG
rnacentral:rRNA from 1 species